CACUUGUAACAGAAUCGAUCUUGUGGAUUGUAAUGUUAUUAUUAUCUAUCUUGUUUCAGAUUUUGCUGAUUGGACUUGGGAGGAGUUCAAUUUGAUUUCUUUUAAAUUAAGAGGAUACAAAACUCUUACCAAUAAUGCUUUCUUUUAUUGUCACAAUUUGAUUGGAAGAUGGCAACAAUGAUAGCAAAGGGUUGCAGUGAAGGCAAUCUCGAGUUUUAUAUGUGUCUGGUGAAGAGAACCUUGAGCAUAUUGGUAACAGAGCAGAAUGCCUUAGGAUUAAAUCAGGUAUAUAUUUAUAUUCAAGUACUGAUAUUGAGUUUUAAGACAUAUUGAAGAAAGCUCAGCUUCUUUUUCCUCGUGCUAUGUGGUCAGAGCAAAAUGUUAAGUUGAAUGAUGCUGAGCACAAGUUAAAAGAUCAAGGACGUCAACUAAAGGUUCAACAGAAAAGAAUUGGUUCUACUAAAAAGACAAUUAAUGCUUUGUAUAAAAAGUUGAAUCUCUCACUUCCUUCAACCUUGUCUAAUCCUGCAGAAGAUGAGCUUGGGACAGGCUCUAGUGAUGAUGAGGAUGAUAACAUAAGUGAUUGAUGUCAAGAGUAUAUGUUUUUUCUGAUUUAGAUUAAGGAAUUUUUAGGUGAAUUAGUUAGUGCAUUUUAUUUUAUUCAUGAUAUUUGAC